UUCGGCGCCGCUCUCGUUCGGGCGUUGUGUGGCAGGAGCGCGCAUCGCGGUGCGGCGCCUACGCGCGGGCUGCGGUAACGUGCCGUUACUCCGCUGUGCGCAGCGCUCAAGGAAAGCACAGCGCAGAGAACGCAGCGGUUCCCUGAAAUUGUGCUCUUAGAGAACAAACGUAAAGCAUCAAGCACAAGGACGUCAGUGAAUUAGAAACCUCGGGAAGAGCGCAAGUGCUUUGGUGGCCCCGAGUACAAGAAAGCAGCAUAGAGGAACCGGGUCACGGUUUAAGGACGUCCGUCAGGAGCAGAUCACAAAGAUGAGGGCUGUGGGAUCGUUACUGGGAAGCACUGAGCAAAACAUGCAGCGGCCGUUGGGUGUGAUGCCCUUUGGCUCAGACUGCGGCCAAGAUGGCCAUAGGAACAAACUGCAUGGCCGGGUCGGCUCCUCUUAGCACACGUCCAGGGCAGUUUGCAGGAUGCAUGAAGAGGAGUUUCAUCCAUGGGACGUUCCUACCCCUCCUUCCAUGCUAAUGGAUAUGGAGAGGCCCUGCCUGGCCAGCUUGAGGCGUUUAAAGAGAGAUUCAGCCCAAAGGGAGAAAACAGGGAGCCAGAAUGAUGAGAGGCAGAAAAUGUACAAAGCAAGGCUGGCUGAGCAGCCUGCAGCUGUUUCAGACAUGGAAAAUAAAACUGAGAAAGAGUAUAUGAGAAGAAAACUCUUUUCUUUGCUUAUUGUGAAAAGGACAAUUAGUGCCUGACUACAUCAGCAAGCUCAAGUCGGACAUCGGAGAAAGCUCUCCCAAUAAGUGAAGUUCAGCACUCGAUGGGAUUGCCGGCAGCUCCCAGCACCAGAGGCCCUAAAGCCACUUGGAAACGUUUGUCAAAAGUAGUUGCAUAGGGCUGAACCUAUUGAAAAGCAAACAGAAAAAGCAAAUGGCCUCUUAACAUUAGACAAGGCACAGUUCUUGACUGAUGCAGAGAAAGGCAGAUGGAACGGAGUUCAUGUUUUGCAAACGUUCUGCAUUUAUCCAUGUGUGUCUUUAAUCUCAACUGUGAAUGGAAAAUUGCUUCAAGUUGUACGUGGAUAACCUGAGGCCACUUUCAUCCUGAAUGGCAUCUGUACAGGGACUAAGCACAGGCUGACUCGUUAACUCAGUAUUAGGUCAUUAGGUGGACAUGACUUGUAGUGACCGUAUCUCCAAAACCCACACUUCUCUGCUGUUCAAGACAAACAAAUACAUUACUUCGAAGAGAGAAAAUGAUGGAUCGAACAAUUCAUUUAAAGAUACGGACAUAAACACAUUGCAUAUCAUCAGUGCAAAAUACAAGGUUGAUCCACUAAAGGUGAAUUAUGACUUUUAAUGAAGUGUCCUUUUCCUGUCCCCUUUUUCCACCAGGUACACAAGUAGUGUGCACCACGACAGACAAGUACUUCUAGGAUACAUGCUGUUUGCUUGUGGCUGAACACUAGAUACAGAGAAACUAGGAUGCAUUCUCAUUAUACUGCGUUAGGUCCCAGUUACACAUGCAGCACAACUGCAGUUGUGUUUGACUCUUCUGCUACCACGAGACCUUUUUCAGCUCUACAGGACACACAAAUGGCUAGAAACUGUAAGCAAUUUCCUUGUACAAUUUCUCCCAGGUUUCAUUAAAAAAAAUGCUCAUCUUCGAAAACCCACUGUAACAGAGGGCAAAAAUACUGCUUCAGCUGGAAACUGACUCAAUAAUAUUUGGGUUUUGUCCUUCUGUAGCAACAGCCAUUUGAAUACACAAGAGAGUUGAUAAGUAUCAUCUGGAAAGUCUGGUCUCCCUUACUGUCCCUGGCAGACUUCCUGGAGGCUCUGACUUCUCUCACCUCAUCUAAGAGCAGCACUGAAUAUACAACACACACAUUCACUCAUUCUCCAGUCUUCAUCAGAUAAAGAGAUAAAGAUGUUACGCUCCCAAAUGUGAAGGUCACCUUCCACAUUACUGACACUCUGAAAAAGCACAGCGAUGUAAGGAAAAACAUUAUCCAAGUACAUCCUUCAGCACAAUCUGAGAAAUCAAGUGUGGAAGGUGGGAAUUAUAUGGAACACCAACAGACAGCAAAAUCAAAGUGGCUCUUUUGGAAAGAAAGAGAUGGAGGGAGGUAAACACGACUCAAAUCAAAGAGCUGAAUGAAGUUUCAGGGAAGCCUUCGAUUCACCAUCGAGCCUAGGACUGAUAGGAGUAUCAGGUGUUUUCAACUUUGAUUUACUGCUGUCUUCUAGCAAAGAAAAACUGGACUUAGCAAAAGAAACAGAAGAUGGUUGCUUGACUUUCUUCAGCAAAUUUUCAUCUUCGUACGUACUUCGGAAAAUUUUUGAAGAAACUGGGCUAGUCUCAUGUAUUUU
rnacentral:lncRNA from 1 species